GAUUACAGGCAUGAGCCACUGCACCCUGCCUCUAUUCUGGUAAGUCUUAAAGAGCUUUAUCUUAGAAUCAUAAAGUGACCUAAUUAAAAAUAAACAGAACAAAUACCAGGAACAUACUACCCCUCAACUAAGGUUUUUUUUAAAAAAAAAAUUCUCAGCUGUAUUCUAUUACAUAGUAAAAAUAGUAAGUUGCCUUGCUUUAGUAUGUGUGAGUAGCCACAUAGAACAGUUUAUAUGUUCUCCAUCACCCACCCUCUGGAUAAUUUUCUUUGUGAAAGACACCUUGCUUAUUUGUAUGCAUGUGUCUCAGGAAAUAAAUUCUUUAGUAAUAGAGCAGAACAAGCAUUUUUAACAUGAUAACUACCAACUAGAGAAACUCUUGACAUAAAUUACACAUUUUUUCUUGUCUUUUAAAAAUAUGUAUGUAUUUUUUCUUAAAAAUCAGGCUCAUAAACGAAUGGCUUUCUACUCUUUUUUCAUGUAAUCUCCUAUCAGGGGAAUGUUAUCAUACCAUUAAAUAUUCUGUAAGAACAUGAUUUCUAGGGCUGGAUACGGUGGCUCACAUCUGUAAUCCCAGCAUUUUGGGAGGCCCAGGCAGGAGGAUCACCUUAGGUCAGGAGUUUGAGACCAGCCUGGCCAACAUGGUGAAACCCGAUCUCUACUAAAAAUACAAAAAUCAGCUGGGCGUGGUGGCACAUGCCUGUAAUCCCAGCUAUGUGGGAGCUGAGGCAGGAGAGUUGCUUGAACCCUGGAGGCGGA
rnacentral:lncRNA from 1 species